AAAAACCUGAACGAUGACGAGGCAGCCUCUGGCUGAAACAGAUUAUCGCCUUAUCCAAGUGGCCGAUCAGAGGACCAUUGAUUCGCCCCCGUGGAGAAAUUUCAUUCGGCUGUUUAGCUUAUUGCAGAUUCCCGGUCGGAAUAUUAUCGCUUUUCUACGAGAUAAAUGGCAUAAAAAUUGGUUUUAAACAGCGGUUGACAUGCUUCGAAGUACGGUAAUGGAAUAUUUAGACAUUUUUUGUCACGCCAUGCGCCAUGCGCACGACCGUUAUUUACCAUUCGUAUAGUGUCUAGAACGCACGAACAAAACAGAGGAUAUUUGGAUAUAACGAUGGAUUAUUUGGGACCAAACCUACAUUUGUUAUUGAAGUAGAAGUCCUGGGAGUGCAUUCUGACGAAGAACAGGAAAGGUGUGUCAUCUGAUGAAGAUCAUAAAAGUAUUUGCCAAUAUCAUAACUGGAACUGGAGCUGGACAUCUUUGGAGCUGAAGAUUGAGGCCAGCUUUGGCACGCUAGCGUACACUCUUAACAGUUUUACUGGAUGAAAACACAGCAAGAAAACACAAUAUGUAACAGUUGUCUAUUUUAUUGCAGUAUUGGUGGUGGUUGGUUGAACAACAACUUGUUUAACUAGAGGAAAGAAAACUGAGUAUGCGUAAGCCAUAUUUAAUAUUCAUGCAGUGACUGAACAACAACUGCAUUUCCACUCACACCUCUAAAGGCAUAGUAUCAUGGCAGGUCACCUGUCAAGUCACCUGUCAGGUCAAUCAGUCACUAAUUGCUGCAGAUGUGCUCAAUAGUGCUUGAGCAUAUGAUACUCCCCAAAGCACAUCGAGGUGUGUCACAAGCUAAACACAUGUAUUUUGUCAACUUCCUCCGCUUACUUCUCCUGGUGCCAGACAGGCAGACUUUGCAGUGCUUCCGUGUGUGACUACCUUGAGCAGCAGUUUCAGGGACUUUGCAGGCAAAAUGCCGUGCAGUGAGGCGUAGG
rnacentral:lncRNA from 1 species